GGCGGGACUCAGCUUCCUGCCAACAUCAAUGCUGGGACGCAGCUCUAAGAAAAUCGUGGCCUCCAAUUGUCUAAGGCUGCGAACCUCAGGCCUUGUUGCUUCUCCUAGAGCAUCUCACUCCUUCUCCCUGUGACCGGCUGCCAACGGCCCCGGGAGAGGGGCUUCCCACACCCCCCGCCCAGGAUACCGCGUUUCUGGGGGUCUGUCUAAUCUCUGCACUCAGCUCUGUGCAGAGAGGCAGGCGGUCCCGCCCGGAGCAGCCCCAGCCCUCGGCCCUUGUUCCAGGGGACCGGUCCCUGCGGGGCCACCACGAGGGGAGGCUCGGAUCUCCUCUUGGUCAACAGAAACGUGCCCCACGACCACACCCCCGGAGGCUGGAGCAGAACAGACCCCGCGAGACCUCCCUGACGGUGGAUGCGCGGUCCAGACAAGUCUGUGGCCUUCAGACCUGACCUCGGGAAUCCAUCAUGUCCCUCAGCCGUCUGAAAUGUUUCCUCGAGGUCCUGAACUACAAAAGGUUUCGGCAAGUUGGAAAACGGAGACUCGAACAGUCAGAGCGCUGGCUUUGAGCCACUGAGAAGGUCCUGCGCCGGAAGGAGCCGGCGGCCCUGGAGCCCGCCCUGCCGUGCGCGCCACGAGGCGGCGCCGGAGAAGGGCCCGGGCGGCUCCAGGCUCCGGGCGUCAGGCGGGACCGGGCUCCUCCUGCGCGCGAGUCUGCACAGAGCCGGGCAGACGGCCUGUGAGCCGAGACGCAGGUGCGCACUGCCGCGGCGGAGCGAGCGCCGGGCGGAGCUCGAGAGCCGCGGUCCUCCUUUGAAAAUUGGCCUGGCGUUACAACGUUGUUAGUCUCUGCUGUACAGCACAGUGAGUCAGCUGCAUGAAUACACGGAUCCCUUCUUUCCUGGAUUUCCUUCCUACUGAGGUCACCGCAGAGCAUUUUCCCUUUCUUUUCUUUUCGCUAGACUGUUUUGAAGCAAAUCCAGGGUACCAUGUCAUUUCACUGCUCAGCCCUUCAGUGAGCUUCUUUAGCUGAGGAGGCCCUUUCUCUUCCAGCAUAACUGCCUCAUUGCUGGCACCCUAAUCAAGUCAAUAAGAAGCCUCUGAUAUGACCUAGUCCAUAUUCAAACUUAUCUGGCCCUCUCAAAAAUGUUUUCUUGCAACCGGUCUCUUUGAUACAGAAUCCAAUCAAGGCCCACCAUUGGUUGUUUUGCCUCUUUUCUCUCUAUAAUGGCAGUCCCUUCUCCUCAAAAAAAAAAUUGUUUUUCCUGUGCAGCAUCUCCUGUUCUGAACUGGACUUAUUGCUUCCUUGAGCAGUUUGUUUUACUUGUUUCUCUAACUUUUGCAUUUCCUGUAAAUUGUUAGUUAGAUGUAGAAACUUGAUUAGUUUCGGGUUCAGCUGCUGGUGAGCCCUGAGGGAACUCAGGAAGGAAACAAGAAAUACCCACUAUCUAGUAGCCAUCAGACUGCAGCCACCCCUGAUGGUGCAGCUUGAGGAAACUCAGGAUGAGAAAACACAGGAUCCUGGCCCCAGAGAGCUGAGGAAUGAUUUCAGUGAGCCCAGACUUACAUCUUCCCAUACCUAGAAAAGUGCUAAAUUCCUUAACUGGGGAUAUCUGUUUUUCUUUUAUUACCAGUAACCUUUUGUUCUCACUACGUGUUGUUAUUGCAAAAAUUCCUAUAUAUCCUGGCGUAUAUGCUGGGUUCACCAUUUCCUUUUCCAGUUUUAUCUGAGAGGCUCUCUCCCUAAACAUGCCGGCUGAAUAAACAUAAUUCUCAACAUUUAGGUUGUGCUUUUUUUUUCAGUGGACAUGCUUUUGGCCAGAAUAUUUCUUGGGUGGUGGUGUGCGCUUCUCUGAAUCACAAUAGGAGGUCCAUGAACUUACAGUCUUGUAAGCUUACAGUGAGGACAAGGUUGAUCAUUGAGUUCAGUUGGUCCCAGCCUUAAUUUUAUAUCAUCAAAUUCCCUGCCAGGCUUUCCGGUGGAUGUUUUAAAGCCAUCCAUUGACAUUGUUUUAGUUCUAUGAUUUCAUUCAGGGGUGCAAAGUGGUGUAUUAUCCAUUCUUCAUUUAUUAGAUGAAAUUUUCUAUAAAUAUUUCACUUAUAUAAUGGUUGUUUUUUUGGUUGCAGCCAUGAAAUUAAAAGACGCUUACUCCUUGGAAGGAAAGUUAUGACCAACCUAGACAGCAUAUUCAAAAGCAGAGACAUUACUUUGUCAAAAAGGUCCGUCUAGUCAAGGCUAUGGUUUUUCCAUUGGUUAUGUAUGGAUGUGAGAGUUGGACUAUAAAGAGGGCUGAGUGCAGAAGAAUUGAUGCUUUUGAACUGUGGUGUUAGAGAAGACUCUUGAGAGUCCCUUGGACUGCACGGAGAUCCAACCAGGCCAUCCUAAGGGAAAUUGGUCCUGGGUGUUCAUUGGAAAGAUUGAUGUUGAAGCUGAAACUACAGUAUUUUGGCCACCUGAUGUGAAGAGCUGAAAAGACCCUGAUGUUGGGAAAGAUUGCAGGCAGGAGGAGAAGGGGACGACAGAGGAUGAGAUGGUUGGAUGGCAUCACUGACUCAAUGGACAUGAGUUUGGGUGGACUCUGGGAGUUGGUGAUGGACAGGGAGUCCUGGCAUGCUGCGAUACAUGGGGUCGCAAAGAGUUGGACACGACUGAGCAACUGAACUGAACUGAAUGAAUGUUUACCCUAAAAUACAGUUUCUACAAGAGGGGCAGAAUAAAUGGUUAAUCUUUCCUCUUAUAUACCAGUUUCCAGAGUGAUAAGUUUGCACCUUAACAAACUCCAAGUAUAAAUAAUAUUGUUUUUUAAGUAU
ensembl:lncRNA